CUUCUUUGCAGUGUUCAGAAAACUCAUUAGCUUCCAACCUCCUCAAUUAGGCAGAACAAACAUGCAUUACUCCAAAUUGCCCCGCACUGCGGUAGAGACAGAGUUCAAGCAGAAUGUUGGCCCACCACCCAAGGAUUUGACCACUGAAGUUUACUUCCCUUCAAUCAAAUCGAGAUCACAUCUUCCUGUAGUUUUCUAUAAGCAGUAUUUCAAGCAUCCAAAAUGUGUAGGAGAAUAUGGACCCAAGGACGGAGCAGAGAGACAAAUAGAGGAACGGAAAAUUUUGCCUACAACCAUGAUGUUCUCAAGGUUAGCUGACUGUGUUCUAAAAUCCACUCAAAUUCCCAUUUUGGGAGUUGCUAUGUGACAAAGGUCUGCCCCUGCAGUGUUGGGACAACUUGCUCAUGGAGUUACAGUUCUUGCCUAACAGGAACCCACCAUGGUAAGAAAAAGACUCAAGCUGGUUCAUUUGUUUUUAAGGUUGCAAGGUAAUCAAGUCCAUAACCACACUUGCUCU
rnacentral:sRNA from 1 species